UUUAGCUUCCAAAACAAGGAAUAUUCAUUUUGCUCAUCAGCAGCUGGUGUAACAAUGAAGUUAUUUAAGUUCAUUAGAAGAUGGAAACUUGACAGAGUAAGUGGCUCUGGUAAACUACAAGGGAAGAAAGGGAGUAACUGAGCAGGAUAAAGACAUUGCAAAGAAGCAAAAGAACAUCUCUGUAUCAGCCUUCUCCACAAAAGCAAUGGUGAAAUAUCUACCCUAGAACUAUGCUUUGCAAGUAAUAAAGAUGAGGUGCUAUCAGACUGAGAUGUCAAAAGAGGAA